CGGCAGAGAUACUGGAAUCGCAAUGAGAUAAUCCCAUCCGCCUCCCGACCACCGCUGAGAGAGCCUGCUUCGACAAUUAGCAUGGUACUUAAAAUACAAAAAGGAAAGGCUGGAGCAGGAGCAAUUGGAGGGAGAACAUGCAGUGGCCCAUCAGCUUUUAGAAUUGACUGAAGCUGCUGGAGCCUUUGUGAAGUGGAAGUUUUUGUUCCUGGGGUUUGUCUCCAUACUGCGGGACGUCGCAUAAAGCUCCUGGACUCCAUAGGAAGAAUGAAAGUUUAAGCAAAGAUUUAGCUCGGGUUGAGGUUGUUGACUUGAUCGCCGAGCUGCCUUGUUUUCAUUCAGACAUCAUCAAUGAGGCGUCCGAUGAAGCGAUGUUAUUCGACUCUGCUUGGAAUUUAUACUGA